rnacentral:rRNA from 1 species
AAGAGAGUGCAAGAGAACGUGAAACCGACAUAAUGGAAGCGGAUGGAGCCGACGUAUCGUGCAUGUAUUCAAUUGCACAGCGUUGCAGGCUGCUGGUUUGGCAUUCCGUAAGGUUGCCGAUCGGUUGUUCUUGUUGCGUUUGUGUAAUGCAUUUGCAUGCAGAGUGCGCCGAGUGGGUUGGUUUCGCUGUUGGAAGCUGCUAUAGAGGACUAGCCUUCGGGUUGGAACCCUGUUGCAGUGGAUGAUAGAUGAGGCUGGCUUGUCAACUGCAGGUGAAUUCGCGAUUUGCGUCUUCGGUCUGGUUAACUUGCGAGUAGCACAUGUGUUGCUUGCUUGAUUGCUAGGCUGUUGGCGUUGAUUGCCCUUGCAUUUAACUCGGUGUUCAGUCGGUCACCCAUUCGACCCGUCUUGAAACACGGACCAAGGAGUUUAUGGUGUACGCGAGUCAUUGGGCUUUUAAACCCAAAGGCGUAAUGAAAGUGAGACAUUUAGUGUCUGUGAUGUGAACGGUUUUUGUUUUGACGGUUGCCGUGCAACAUCGCCCUAUGCCUGGGACUUGUCCUGGCGUGGAGGUUGAGCGUACGCUAUGAGACCCGAAAGAUGGUGAACUAUGCCUGAACAGGAUGAAGCCAGAGGAAACUCUGGUGGAAGUCCGAAGCGGUUCUGACGUGCAAAUCGAUCGUCUGAUUUGGGUAUAGGGGCGCAAGACUAAUCGAACCAUC